rnacentral:lncRNA from 1 species
AGGAAAUCUAUUGUUCACACGGACAGAGUUUUUUCUGUAUUUACACGGCGUCGCACAAGUACAAGAUACAACCACACUGUACACAUAUUCACAUACAAUCACCACAUCACAUUCAUUCUAUCACAAAUUUACUACAAGUUCACAUAUAUUAGUUAAAACGUUUCCUACUCGAAAACUUAUUUUGAAAUACUAAUAAUCAUGAAAACCAGGAAAACUCUUUUUAAAACUGUUUCCCACACGAAAACCCUUUUUCUUUAAAAAUACGCUACCACGAGGGGUAGAAAAUUAUUUUCAUCUCAUAAAGAAACCAUAGUACUUUAUUCAUUUCACAAAAUAAUAUUUAUCCAUAUAACUGAAAACCAACUGAACCAUAAUUACUAAUUCAAUUAUUAAAAAGACAAGUUUG